rnacentral:lncRNA from 1 species
GGGCAGAGUUACAGAACAUUCUCAAGAGGGAGCAGAGCUUAACAGAGCCCUCUUGUGAGGGGGCAGAGCUUAACAGAACAUUCCUGAGAGGUCACACAGUUUAAACAGUUACAAACCAUUUUGAUACAUUGGGCAGGAGCCCAGCAGCACAAACCUACAUUUCCAAAACAAAACGUUCUGUGGAAAAGAAAUGGAGCCAAGGCAAUGGCCUAUCUUAUUGUAUAGCACUUCUCUAUCAUCCACCCCCCUUUUUUUCUGUGGGUGUUAAUGGGUUUUGGAGUUUCUCCUGAGAUAACUGAACAACAUGGCUUGACCCUCUACUUGGAACCCUGGUCCCCAUCUUCCUGUUGCUAAUGAUUGGUCUUUGUCUGUUCAGGUGCCUCACAAUUUCUACAAGAUCGAGUUCAGGCUUUCACAAGACAGUCAGUACAACAAUUACUGAACACCACCAAAGUUCAGAGACCAGCUCUAGAAAGGUAACUGGGCUAAGAAGACAACCAAUAUUUUGGCCCUGGCCCUCCAAGGUCAACAAAGACCCAGGACAUGAAGGAAUCUUUUCUAUAUUUUUUGUCUUCCUAGGACAACUCACUGAGCUUGUCUUGAGACAUCAUCACAAGCUACAGCUACAAAACAGAAGAGGGGGAGAUGCUGGGAGCCCUGUGCUAUGGAUCACUAUGGCCUAACUCACCUCCUCCCGAAGAUGAGGAAGGGCCCCGUGGAAGAAGAACAGGUGACAAGAUGGCGUGGCGGAGCAAAGCCUGGCCAAGAAGAGGACGUGUCUUCCUCCUCAUCCAUUUGCCAUAAAACCAUCAAGCAUGAUGUUCUGCAGACUGUAGCUACUCUCCCUGUUCCAGUUAUGGGCACCCCCUUCUACCUCCCCCUGUACUUAUCUCUAUACUAUAAAUAAAUGCACUACAGUUGCCAGCCAGACCUCUUCUCCCAUCAGGAAG